GGCUCAGGAUCCUGGCUCAGAUUGAACGCUGGCGGCAGGCUUGAACACAUGCAAGUCGAGCGGAAACGAUGAUUAGACUUGCUCAGGCGUCGAGCGGGGGAUAGCACGGGGAAACUCGUAUUAAUACCGCAUACGACCUACGGGAGAAAGGGGGCAUUUACUGCUCUCGCUAUUAGAUGAGCCUAAGUCGAUUAGCUAGAUGGUGGGGUAAAGGCCUACCAUGGCGACGAUCUGUAGCUGGUCGGAUGAGAGGAUGAUCAGGCCACACCGGACUGAGACACGGCCCCGGACUCUCACCAAGGCAGCAGUGGGGAAUAUUGGACAAUGGGGGAAACCCUGAUCCAUGCCGCGUGUGAAGAAGGCCUUUUGGUUGUAAAGCACUUUAAGCAGUGAAGAAGACUCCAUGGUUAAUACCCAUGGACGAUGACAUUUAGCUGCCAGAAAUAAAGGCCCCCACCGGCUAACUCUGUGCCAGCAGCCGCGGUAAUACAGAGGGUGCAAGCGUUUAAUCGGAAAUUACUGGCGCGAAAGCACGGCUAAGUCAGAUGUGAAAUCCCCGGUAACCUGGGAACUGCAUCUGGAGGAAUACCGAUGGCGAAGGCAGCCUUCUGGCAUAAUACUGACACUGAGGCUCGAAAGCGUGGGUAGCAAACAGGAUUAGAUACCCUGGUAGUCCACGCCGUAAACGAUGUCUACUAGUCGUUGGGUCCCUUGAGGACUUAGGUGACGCAGCUAACGCAAUAAGUAGAUCCGCCUGGGGAGUACGGCCGCAAGGUUAAAACUCAAAUGAAUUGCUCGAAAGCGUGGGGAAGCAAACAGGAUUAGAUACCCUGGUCUUGCACAUAUCUAGAAUGCAGAGAUGCGGGAGUGCCUUCGGGAAUUAUUCAGUGCUGCAUGGCUGUCGUCAAGCACUCCGCCUGGGGAGUACGGCCGCAAGGCUGAAACUCAAAGGAAUUAAGCCGGGAACUCUAAGGCCCUUACGACCAGGGCUACACACGUCUACAAUGGUAGGUACAUUACCAGGUCUUGACAAUCCUUUCACCACCCCGUCACACCAUGGGAUUGAUUGCACCAGAAGUGGAUAGCUUAACCUUCGGGGAGCUUCACCACGGUGUGGUUGAUGACUGGGGAUGUUGGGUUACAGUCCCCGCAACGAGCGCAACCCUUAUUACUAGUUGCCAGCAUUUAGUUGGGCACUCUAGUGAAGUCGUAACCAAGGUAGCCCGUAGGGGAACCUCGGCUGGAUCACCUCCAUGCCCCUUAUGACCUGGGCUACACACGGUGCUACAAUAGGAUGGUACAACGAGUCGCAAGGUCGCGAGGCCAAGCUAAUCUCUUAAAGCCAUUCUCAGUUCGGAUUGUAGGCUGCAACUCGCCUAACAUGAAGCCGGAAUCGCUAGUAAUCGCGGAUCAGAACG
rnacentral:rRNA from 1 species